rnacentral:rRNA from 2 species
AAGGUCCCAAAGUCAUGGUUAAGUGGGAAACGAUGUGGGAAGGCCCAGACAGCCAGGAUGUUGGCUUAGAAGCAGCCAUCAUUUAAAGAAAGCGUAAUAGCUCACUGGUCGAGUCGGCCUGCGCGGAAGAUGUAACGGGGCUAAACCAUGCACCGAAGCUGCGGCAGCGACACUGUGUGUUGUUGGGUAGGGGAGCGUUCUGUAAGCCUGUGAAGGUGUGUCGUGAGGCAUGCUGGAGGUAUCAGAAGUGCGAAUGCUGACAUAAGUAACGAUAAAGCGGGUGAAAAGCCCGCUCGCCGGAAGACCAAGGGUUCCUGUCCAACGUUAAUCGGGGCAGGGUGAGUCGACCCCUAAGGCGAGGCCGAAAGGCGUAGUCGAUGGGAAACGGGUUAAUAUUCCCGUACUUGGUGUUACUGCGAAGGGGGGACGGAGAAGGCUAUGUUGGCCGGGCGACGGUUGUCCCGGUUUAAGCGUGUAGGUGUGUGUUCCAGGUAAAUCCGGUUCACUUUAACACUGAGGCGUGACGACGAGGCACUACGGUGCUGAAGCAACAAAUGCCCUGCUUCCAGGAAAAGCCUCUAAGCAUCAGGUAACAUCAAAUCGUACCCCAAACCGACACAGGUGGUCAGGUAGAGAAUACCAAGGCGCUUGAGAGAACUCGGGUGAAGGAACUAGGCAAAAUGGUGCCGUAACUUCGGGAGAAGGCACGCUGACACGUAGGUGAAGUGAUUUACUCAUGGAGCUGAAGUCAGUCGAAGAUACCAGCUGGCUGCAACUGUUUAUUAAAAACACAGCACUGUGCAAACACGAAAGUGGACGUAUACGGUGUGACGCCUGCCCGGUGCCGGAAGGUUAAUUGAUGGGGUCAGCGCAAGCGAAGCUCCUGAUCGAAGCCCCGGUAAACGGCGGCCGUAACUAUAACGGUCCUAAGGUAGCGAAAUUCCUUGUCGGGUAAGUUCCGACCUGCACGAAUGGCGUAAUGAUGGCCAGGCUGUCUCCACCCGAGACUCAGUGAAAUUGAACUCGCUGUGAAGAUGCAGUGUACCCGCGGCAAGACGGAAAGACCCCGUGAACCUUUACUAUAGCUUGACACUGAACAUUGAGCCUUGAUGUGUAGGAUAGGUGGGAGGCUUUGAAGUGUGGACGCCAGUCUGCAUGGAGCCGACCUUGAAAUACCACCCUUUAAUGUUUGAUGUUCUAACGUGGACCCGUUACCCGGGUUGCGGACAGUGUCUGGUGGGUAGUUUGACUGGGGCGGUCUCCUCCUAAAGAGUAACGGAGGAGCACGAAGGUUGGCUAAUCCUGGUCGGACAUCAGGAGGUUAGUGCAAUGGCAUAAGCCAGCUUGACUGCGAGCGUGACGGCGCGAGCAGGUGCGAAAGCAGGUCAUAGUGAUCCGGUGGUUCUGAAUGGAAGGGCCAUCGCUCAACGGAUAAAAGGUACUCCGGGGAUAACAGGCUGAUACCGCCCAAGAGUUCAUAUCGACGGCGGUGUUUGGCACCUCGAUGUCGGCUCAUCACAUCCUGGGGCUGAAGUAGGUCCCAAGGGUAUGGCUGUUCGCCAUUUAAAGUGGUACGCGAGCUGGGUUUAGAACGUCGUGAGACAGUUCGGUCCCUAUCUGCCGUGGGCGCUGGAGAACUGAGGGGGGCUGCUCCUAGUACGAGAGGACCGGAGUGGACGCAUCACUGGUGUUCGGGUUGUCAUGCCAAUGGCACUGCCCGGUAGCUAAAUGCGGAAGAGAUAAGUGCUGAAAGCAUCUAAGCACGAAACUUGCCCCGA